AUACGGAGGGUCCAAGCGUUAUCCGGAAUCAUUGGGUUUAAAGGGUCCGCAGGCGGUCAAUUAAGUCAGAGGUGAAAACCCAUCGCUCAACGAUGGAACUGCCUUUGAUACUGGUUGACUUGAGUUAUACGGAAGUAGAUAGAAUAAGUAGUGUAGCGGUGAAAUGCAUAGAUAUUACUUAGAAUACCGAUUGCGAAGGCAGUCUACUACGUAUAUACUGACGCUGAGGGACGAAAGCGUGGGGAGCGAACAGGAUUAGAUACCCUAGUAGUCC
rnacentral:rRNA from 1 species